AUAGCGUAUAUUAAAGUUGUUGCAGUUAAAAAGCUCGUAGUUGAAUUUCUGGCCGGCCCUGUUCUUGGCUCUCGUAGUCGGUGCAGGGCCUGGUCAUCCGUACGGGAAGCCAACUCGGCCUUCACUGGUCGGUUGGUGGAUCGUACACUUUACUUUGAAAAAAUUAGAGUGUUUCAAGCAGGCAAUUGCUUGGAUAUUACAGCAUGGAAUAAUGGAAUAGGACUUUGACCUAUUUGUUGGUUUCUCGAGGUCAAAGUAAUGAUUAAUAGGGACAGUUGGGGGCAUUCGUAUUUAAUUGUCAGAGGUGAAAUUCUUGGAUUUAUUAAAGACGAACUUAUG
rnacentral:rRNA from 1 species